CCCAUGACAUCACAUGGUAUGCGAAUUACUUUUCAAAGCGUCGUUUGAGAGGCAAGAACUUCCUAAAUAGGAAGUGCGAUCAUCGCUUUCUGUAUUUUGGUCCACGUUGUAAGUUUCAGGGCUAAUAUCUUAAUCUUUUGGAUAUAAAAAGGAACCUGGGAACAAGACAUACCAUUUACUGAGAUAUGAAAACUCCUAGACAAACCAUUUACUGAGAUAUGAAAACUCAUAGACAGACCAUUUACUGAGAUAUGAAAACUCAUAGACAGACCAUUUACUGAGAUAUGAAAACUCUUAGACAGACCAUUUACUGAGAUAUGAAAACUCCUAGACAGACCAUUUACUGAGAUAUGAAAACUCCUAGACAGACCAUUUACUGAGAUAUGAAAACUCCUAGACAGACCAUUUACUGAGAUAUGAAAACUCCUAGACAGACCAUUUACUGAGAUAUGAAAACUCCUAGACAGACCAUUUACUGAGAUAUGAAAACUCCUAGACAGACCAUUUACUGAGAUAUGAAAACUCCUAGACAAACCAUUUACUGAGAUAUGAAAACUCCUAGACAGACCAUUUACUGAGAUAUGAAAACUCCUAGACAGACCAUUUACUGAGAUAUGAAAACUCCUAGACAGACCAUUUACUGAGAUAUGAAAACUCCUAGACAGACCAUUUACUGAGAUAUGAAAACUCCUAGACAGACCAUUUACUGAGAUAUGAAAACUCUUAGUCUCUGUGGCCUCAUCACUACUGACUUGUGGUGCCUGGUCUCAUCGCUCACCAUGACCCCAACCGGCCAGGCCGAGGAGUGAGACAGCCAUGUCUGAUUCUACCUUGUUCAGAGCCACCAGAAUACUCUGCAGAAGUAUAUCUAGUGACAUGGAGGAGUCUGAGGCCAAGGGCAGAGGAGGAGCUGUCCCCAUGAGGAAGAGUUCAGACAGGAGGGGUUCUGACUGGGGAAGCAUCGCCAUGCUGGAUAAGACCAAGGAAUUCUUCCAGACCUGCGAUGUGGAGGGCAAAGGCUUCAUCACACGCACCGAUAUGAGGAGGCUUCACAGAGAACUACCCCUCACUGCUGAAGAACUGGAGAAUGUCUUUGACUCCUUGAACACUGACCAGAACGGCUACCUCACCCUCGAAGUGUUCUCAUCAGGAUUCAGUCAGUUCCUGCACAGCCGGAGGAUCUCUGUAGCCGAGGACGCAGCACCCGCCCUCCCCACUUCUAGGAAGCCCUCAGAAGCCCUGUACCAGAGCCAAUGGGAUGAGAGGUUGACUGGAGGGUGGGAGGAUGAGGAGGAGAGUCACUUCUGUAUGCUGCUGGAGAGCCUAGGGGCCAGCAACGUGUUCCAGGAUCCAGGCGAGGUGCGCAGCUUGUGGGCCCAGCUGAGGAGGGACGAGCCUCACCUCCUGUCGAACUUUGAGGAAUUCCUGGCCAGGGUCACCUUCCAGAUCAAAGAGGCCAAAGAGGAGAGGAGGGAGAUGGAGAGCGCCCUCCAGAGGAAAGAAGCCACACACGACAGUGAGAUCCGCGGUCUGUAUGAAGAAAUGGAGCAACAAAUGAAAAGCGAGAAGGACCGGCUGCUCCUCCAGGACUCGGAGCGUCUCCAGUCUCGUAGUCACGACCUGGAGCACCAACUGUCCAGUAAGGAGAGAGAGCUGGAGCAGCUCUUCCAGAAACAGAGGAGGUUGGAUCUCCAGUGUCGCGACCUGAGCAGUGAGCAGCAGGAGAGCCGGGUGGAGAAUGUCAAGCUGAAGAUGACCAACGAGGAACUGAGCAGAGAGCUGGAGAGCACCUGUCAGGAACUGUCCUUGGCCCAGGAACAACUGACCAUGCUGCAGGACCAGGCUUCCCGCCUGCACCAGGAGAGAGAGAUGGAAAUGUAUCGAGUCACUGAGGGACUACAGAGAGAGAAACAGAGUCUGAUGAAACAACUAGACCUUCUCAGAGAGAUGAACAAACAUUUAAAAGAUGAGCGAGACAUAUACUGUGCUGUGAACCCCAGGAAGUCCCUCAAACAGAAGCAGAGAGCCGGCUUGGUCAAUCUGUUUGCGGACACUAGCCAGCAGCCGGUUAAAAGAGCCUCACUCCUCACCCACAAUGGGGGUUCCUAUGAGUUCCUUGAUGCGCUGCCAGUAGAACACCUUCAAAUCUCUUUUGUCUCCUCCCCCUCCUCAUCUAGCGAGGACGAUGUUGACACCGCUUGUCCACCACGUUCACCGAAAACCAACUACGGCCUGGCCAACGGCUACCACGACUCCAACACCUCGUCUCCAAACCAAGUGGUUGAGGUGGAGGCGCAGGGGGUGAGGGUGAAGGAGAGGCUCUCCAAGUUCGAGUCAGAGAAGACCCUCGCCCCCACCCAGAAUGAAAGGGACAGGCAUACAGAGUACCAGAGUAAGCCGGAGGUUGGGGGCGAUGGGCUGGACGGUCCCCCAGAUGGGUGGCCUCUCCGUCGGGUUAUCUCCAUCGAGGAGGACCACCUCCCCCACCUGCUUCAUGGAGGGCCCCAGCCUCUGCUGCACCAGCUCAGUGAGGAAGACGAGGAGGAGCAAGGGAAGGAAGAUCUGGAGAGUAGUAUCUUCUUCGCCCCUGUUCCUCUACCUGUCCCGGUCACGACAGUGUCCCCCUUCAAACACCAAGGUAGUUUCAGCAGAAUGAGAAAUAUCCCCUCGUCACCUCGAGGACAGCCCGUCGGCAAGGAGACCCAAAAUAGGGUGAAGGAGAGGGCCGUGCCUGCCCCAGACCGGCUGUUUAAGGUGGUUCUGGUGGGCAACUCCAGUGUGGGCAAGACUUCCCUGCUGCGCACCUUCUGUGAUGGCCGCUUCCACCCCUCCAGCCCCGCUACUGUGGGUAUUGACUACAGUGUGAAGACUCUAAUGUUGGACAACACCCAGGUAGCCAUGCAGCUGUGGGACACGGCCGGGCAGGAGAGGUACCGCAGCAUCACCAAGCAGUUCUUCCGUAAGGCAGACGGCGUGGUGGUCAUGUACGACAUCACGUUGCUGGACAGCUUCAAGGCCGUGCGACCCUGGCUCAUCAACGUCCAGGAGGCUGCGGGAGUGGGCAUUCCCAUCCUGCUCCUGGGCAACAAGAUGGACGCGACGUCCGAGAGGGAGGUACCACUUAAAGAUGCAGAGACUCUGGCCCACGACACCCGUGUGAUAUUCUAUGAGGUCAGUGCUUACACCGGCUACAAUGUGACAGAGGCCAUGAUCCACCUGGCCAGGUAAGGGAGGGAGAGGGUCAGCCCCUAGGUAUCCAGAUCUGAAUGAAUUGGACAGAGUGCUGAAAGAGCAGGAGGAUCGGGUGAGAGACACGUUUGUCUUACUGGAGGUCCUGCCCGUCAAGAAGAAAGCCUGCUGCAAGUGAAGACACUCUAACAGAAUAGAGAGAGAGAGAGCAUUUGGAAUGGCUAGAGACUCCUGAUAACAAGUAAAGACACUCUGACAGAAUAGAGAGAGAGAGAGCAUUUGGAAUGGCUAGAGACUCCUGAUAACAAGUGAAGGAACUCUUCAAUCUAACUCUUUCUCUGUGCUCUCGGAGCCAAAUCCUAACUUUGUGUACAUUUGUUAAUCAAUAUCUCAAAUUAGGACGGCCCUUCUUUCAGUACCUGUUUUGUUAAAGGCAAAGAGCCCAGUUGAGCUGGAUCCUAGUGGAUUUAGCUCUAGUCUACAUUACAACUCUUUUUCUGUUGUUAUUUGGACCUCCUGACUGUAAUGAGCAAUAGACAUGUGUUCUACUGUAGAACUAAUGGUAUAUUUGGUCAAUUUAAAAAGUGGAUCAACCAUUUCAAUGUAUAGAAUGACUGUUUUUCUUUAGUUGUGAUUAUGUUGUUACUCAAAACACAGAAUGGAUAUGUAAAUAAGAGCUUGAUUAAGUUGGUAGUCUGUUACAAAAUAAUGAUUGUCAUAAAUUUGAUUAAAAUACUGAUGUGAAAUCUAA